UCGUUAUUAUCGAUGGCGUGACGCAGGAGGAUAGUGUGUGCUAGCUAUUGGAUGCUAGUCUAAGCGUUUAGGCAGUGAGAGUAGGUAAAUCCGCUCUCAUAAUGCUGAGGCGUGAUGGGGAAGGUUCCACGGAACCGAAGUACAUGAUUCCACGCUGCCAAGAAAAGCGUCUAGAGAGAGAAGUAGUGCCCGUACCGCAAACCGACACAGGUA
rnacentral:rRNA from 1 species